rnacentral:rRNA from 1 species
AAUUCAACUAGACCUUAUAAAUCUAAUCUAUAUUACAAUUUUCAAUUAAAACAUUCUUAGCCUUUCAGUAUGGGUGACAGAACAAUAACCCCAGCGCAAUAGCUUAUGUACCGCAAGGGAAAGCUGAAAAAGAAAUGAAACAAAUCAUUAAAGUACUAAAAAGCAGAGAUCAUACCUCGUACCUUUUGCAUCAUGAUUUAGCUAGAAAAACUAGGCAAAAGACCUUAAGUCUAUCUCCCGAAACUAAACGAGCUACUCCGAAGCAGCAUUAUAGAGCUAACCCGUCUCUGUAGCAAAAGAGUGGGGAGACUUCCGAGUAGCGGUGAAAAGCCUACCGAGUUUAGUGAUAGCUGGUUACCCAAGAAAAGAACUUUAGUUCUGCAUUAAUUUUUCACCGUCUAGACAAGACUUACUCAUCAAAGAAAUCUAUAAGAAUUAAUAGUUAUUUAGAAGAGGUACAACCCUUCUAAACCAAGACACAACUUUUAAGGUGGGAAAUGAUCAUAAUUAUUAAGGUUACAAUCUCAGUGGGCCUAAAAGCAGCCACCUGUUAAGUAAGCGUCGCAGCUCUAAUCUAAUAACUAAACCUUUAAUUCAGAUAUUCAUUCACAACCCCUUUAUCCUAUUGGGUUAUUUUAUAUUUAUAUAAAAGAACUUAUGCUAAAAUGAGUAAUAAAGAGAAUAAAUCUCUCCCGACACAAGUGUACGUCAGAAAGAAUUAAAUCACUGAUAAUUAAACGACCCCAAACUGAGGUCAUUAUAUCAUUUAAUCAUCAACUAGAAAACCCUAUUCCUCUACUCGUUAUCCCUACACAGGAGUGUCAUUAGGAAAGAUUAAAAGAAAAUAAAGGAACUCGGCAAACACAAACUCCGCCUGUUUACCAAAAACAUCGCCUCUUGACAAACCAUAAGAGGUCCCGCCUGCCCUGUGACAACGUUCAACGGCCGCGGUAUUUUGACCGUGCAAAGGUAGCGUAAUCACUUGUCUUUUAAAUGAAGACCUGUAUGAAAGGCAUCACGAGAGUUUAACUGUCUCUAUUUUCUAAUCAAUGAAAUUGAUCUAUUCGUGCAGAAGCGAAUAUAAUAACAUUAGACGAGAAGACCCUAUGGAGCUUCAAACACUUAAAUUAAUUAUGUAAUCCUCCACCUCCCAGGAAAUAAACAAAAUAUACAAUACUUCUAAUUUAACUGUUUUUGGUUGGGGUGACCAAGGGGAAAACAAAUCCCCUCAUCGAUUGAGUACUAGUACUUAAAAAUUAGAAUGACAAUUCUAAUUAAUAAAACAUUUAUCGAAAAAUGACCCAGGAUUUCCUGAUCAAUGAACCAAGUUACCCUAGGGAUAACAGCGCAAUCCUUUCUCAGAGUCCCUAUCGAAGAAAGGGUUUACGACCUCGAUGUUGGAUCAGGACAUCCUAAUGGUGCAACCGCUAUUAAGGGUUCGUUUGUUCAACGAUUAACAGUCCUACGUGAUCUGAGUUCAGACCGGAGAAAUCCAGGUCAGUUUCUAUCUAUGAAUACACUUUUCCCAGUACGAAAGGACCGGAAAAGUAGGGCCAAUGCCACUAGCACGCCCUAUUUUCAUCUAUUGAAUAAAACUAAAAUAGAUAAGAAAAGAUCACCUAGUGCCCAAAAAAAGGGUUG